GGGGACGUGGUGUUAAUUGGCAGCACGUUGCGGUCGGGUUCAGCCGGUUAAAAACCAAUGGCCAACACCGACAACGAAGGCGCAGGGUCGAGACCUGCCGUUCCCG
rnacentral:tRNA from 1 species